ensembl:snRNA U6 U6 spliceosomal RNA
GUGCUCACCUCAGCAGCACAUAUACUAAAAUUGAGACAAUACAGAAAAGAUCAUCAUGGCCCCUACAUAAGGACAACAUGCAAAUUUAUGAAGCAUUCGUUAGUUUU